rnacentral:rRNA from 1 species
CCCUUAGAUGUUCUGGGCCGCACGCGCGCUACACUGAUGCAUUCAACGAGUUUCUUCCUGGUCCGAGAGGAAUGGGUAACCUUUUGAAAGUGCAUCGUGAUAGGGAUAGACUAUUGCAAUUAUUGGUCUUCAACGAGGAAUUCCUAGUAGACGUAGUUCAUCAGACUGCAUCGAUUACGUCCCUGCCCUUUGUACACACCGCCCGUCGCUCCUACCGAUUGAAUGCUCAGGUGAGCCAUUCGGACUUUCAUCAUGCUGGUUUCCAGUUUUGAUGAAGGAAAGUCUUGCGAACCUUAUCAUUUAGAGGAAGGUGAAGUCGUAACA